CUCUUUUUCAGUUUGUUCUUUUCUGGUUGGGUUUGCUUUAUUGGGGACAACUAUGUGCAUCAGGUUUUAUGAUAAGUUUAAGUUGUCACAUAGACACAAGCACACUUGGAAUGCAAAUUUAGAUAACCUUGGCAGAAUUAAGCAUUUAUGCAGGGACGUUUUUGAUCCUCACCCUUAUAACCUUAAUCUUAUUUGGUCCUUACAACUUGUGGACCAAACAAGACAAUUUAGUAGCCUCCCACCAUCCAGUCCUACUCAUAGAUAAAAUUCCAUAGACCAAAACCUAAUUAGCAACAUAAUACCAACAGGUAUUCUCUAAAGUAGGAACUGUGUAUAAUUCACCAGCAAAUCAAGGAAAA